GUUGAACGCUGGCGGCAGGCCUAACACAUGCAAGUCGAGCGGGGUUUUCGGACCUAGCGGCGGACGGGUGAGUAAUGCGUAGGAAGCUACCCGAUAGAGGGGGAUACCAGUUGGAAACGACUGUUAAUACCGCAUAAUGCCUACGGACCAAAGUGUGGGACCUUCGGGCCACAUGCUAUCGGAUGUGCCUACGGGGGAUUAGCUAGUUGGUGAGGUAAUGGCUCACCAAGGCGACGAUCCCUAGCUGGUUUGAGAGGAUGAUCAGCCACACUGGAACUGAGACACGGUCCAGACUCCUACGGGAGGCAGCAGUGGGGAAUAUUGGACAAUGGGCGCAAGCCUGGUCCAGCCAUGCCGCGUGUGUGAAGAAGGCCUUCGGGUUGUAAAGCACUUUCAGUAAGGAGGAAGCGUUGAGUGUUAAUAGUACUCAGCGUUGACGUUACUUACAGAAGAAGCACCGGCUAACUCUGUGCCAGCAGCCGCGGUAACAC
rnacentral:rRNA from 1 species